GGGGGAACCCUGACCGAGCAACGCCGCGUGAGUGAAGAAGGUUUUCGGAUCGUAAAGCUCUGUUGUUAAGGAAGAACGUGUGUGAGAGUGGAAAGUUCACACAGUGACGGUACUCAACCAGAAAGGGACGGCUAACUACGUGCCAGCAGCCGCGGUAAUACGUAGGUCCCGAGCGUUGUCCGGAUUUAUUGGGCGUAAAGCGAGCGCAGGCGGUUAGAUAAGUCUGAAGUGAAAGGCAGUGGCUCAACCAUUGUAGGCUUUGGAAACUGUUUAACUUGAGUGCAGAAGGGGAGAGUGGAAUUCCAUGUGUAGCGGUGAAAUGCGUAGAUAUAUGGAGGAACACCGGUGGCGAAAGCGGCUCUCUGGUCUGUAACUGACGCUGAGGCUCGAAAGCGUGGGGAGCGAACAGGAUUAGAUACCCUGGUAGUCCACGCCGUAAACGAUGAGUGCUAGGUGUUAGGUCCUUCCCGGGACUUAGUGCCGCAGCUAACGCAUUAAGCACUCCGCCUGGGGAGUACGACCGCAAGGUUGAAACUCAAAGGAAUUGACGGGGGCCCGCACAAGCGGUGGAGCAUGUGGUUUAAUUCGAAGCAACGCGAAGAACCUUACCAGGUCUUGACAUCCCGAUGCCCGCUCUAGAGAUAGAGCUU
rnacentral:rRNA from 1 species